GGCUCUUUGAUAUACUUUUUAUAAAGAGUCUGGCCUGCCCGGUGAAAACUUUUAACGGCCGCGGUACCCUGACCGUGCAAAGGUAGCAUAAUCAUUUGCCUUAUAAUUGAAGGCUAGUAUGAAUGGUUUAACGAGAGUAAAGCUGUCUCCUAUUUAUUUUCUAGAAUUUAACCUUUAGGUGAAGAGGCCUAAAUAUAAUUGAAGGACAAGAAGACCCUGUCGAGCUUAAAAGACACUAUAGAAGUAUAUAUAUUUGUAAAUAAAUAUUCUAUUAAGCUUUUUAGUUGGGGCGACUAAGGAACAAAAAAAGCUUCUUCUUGGCAUACAACAGUUGGGUUUAGAUCCGGUAUUUCCGAUUAAAAAAAUUAGUUACCGCGGGGAUAACAGCAUAAUCUCUCUUGAGAGACCUAAUCGAAAGAGGGGGUUGUGACCUCGAUGUUGGACUAGAAUAUCCUAAAGAUGCAGAAGUCUUUGCGGGUCGGCCUGUUCGGCCGUUAAAAUUCU
rnacentral:rRNA from 1 species